rnacentral:rRNA from 1 species
GAUGAACGCUGGCGGCGUGCCUAAUACAUGCAAGUCGAGCGAACUGAUUAGAAGCUUGCUUCUAUGACGUUAGCGGCGGACGGGUGAGUAACACGUGGGCAACCUGCCUGUAAGACUGGGAUAACUUCGGGAAACCGAAGCUAAUACCGGAUAGGAUCUUCUCCUUCAUGGGAGAUGAUUGAAAGAUGGUUUCGGCUAUCACUUACAGAUGGGCCCGCAGUGCAUUAGCUAGUUGGUGAGGUAACGGCUCACCAAGGCAACGAUGCAUAGCCGACCUGAGAGGGUGAUCGGCCACACUGGGACUGAGACACGGCCCAGACUCCUACGGGAGGCAGCAGUAGGGAAUCUUCCGCAAUGGACGAAAGUCUGACGGAGCAACGCCGCGUGAGUGAUGAAGGCUUUCGGGUCGUAAAACUCUGUUGUUAGGGAAGAACAAGUACAAGUGUAACUGCUUGUACCUUGACGGUACCUAACCAGAAAGCCACGGCUAACUACGUGCCAGCCGCCGCCGUAA